GCCGGGAUAGCUCAGCUGGGAGAGCAACAGACUGAAGAAUAUACUGUGUUCUGGAGGUCGCGUGUUCAAUCCACGCUCCUGGCA